UUAAAUUGAAGAGUUUGAUCAUGGCUCAGAUUGAACGCUGGCGGCAGGCCUAACACAUGCAAGUCGAACGGUAACAGGAAGCAGCUUGCUGCUUCGAUGA
rnacentral:rRNA from 1 species